CAAUACGGAUUACAUAACGAAGAGUUUGAUCCUGGCUCAGAACUAACGCUGGCGGCGCGUCUUAAACAUGCAAGUCGAGCGGAAAGGCCCGCAAGGGUACUCGAGCGGCAAACGGGUGAGUAACACGUAGGUAAUCUUCCUUCCAGUGGGGGACAACCUGCCGAAAGGCAGGCUAAUACCGCAUAUUGCCAGACUUUCUACGGAUUGUCUGAUGAAAGCAGUAAUGCGCUGGAAGAUGAGCCUGCGGCUGAUUAGCUUGUUGGCGGGGUAACGGCCCACCAAGGCGACGAUCAGUAGCCGGCCUGAGAGGGUGGACGGCCACACUGGGACUGGGACACGGCCCAGACUCCUACGGGAGGCAGCAGUUAAGAAUCUUGUGCAAUGGGCGAAAGCCUGACACAGCGACGCCGCGUGCGCGAUGAAGGCCUUCGGGUUGUAAAGCGCAAUAGACAGGGACGAAGAAAGUGACGGUACCUGUUGAAAGCACCGGCUAACUACG
rnacentral:rRNA from 1 species